rnacentral:rRNA from 1 species
UACGUAGGGUCCGAGCGUUGUCCGGAAUUAUUGGGCGUAAAGAGCUCGUAGGCGGUCUGUCGCGUCGGCUGUGAAAACUCGGGGCUCAACCCCGAGCCUGCAGUCGAUACGGGCAGACUAGAGUCCGGCAGGGGAGACUGGAAUUCCUGGUGUAGCGGUGAAAUGCGCAGAUAUCAGGAGGAACACCGGUGGCGAAGGCGGGUCUCUGGGCCGGAACUGACGCUGAGGAGCGAAAGCGUGGGGAGCAAACAGG